rnacentral:rRNA from 1 species
UACGUAGGGGGGCUAGCGUUGUCCGGAUUUAUUGGGCGUAAAGAGCGUGUAGGCGGCCAGGUAGGUCUGGUGUGAAAACUCGAGGCUUAACCUCGAGAUGUCAUCGGAAACCAUCUGGCUAGAGUCCGGAAGAGGAGAGUGGAAUUCCUGGUGUAGCGGUGAAAUGCGCAGAUAUCAGGAGGAACACCGGUGGCGAAGGCGGAUCUCUGGGCCUUACCUGACGCUGAGGCGCGAAAGCUAGGGGAGCGAACGGG